UGCCAUUCAGUCACAUUAACAAGGCUCUACUCUAUUCUGCUGUAGCAUCAGACACAUAACUGUAAGAGGCUUUCCUAUCCAUGCAGGAUUUUACAGUGGAUUGACAUCACCUGAUGUCACCAUCUUGCCCAUCAUAUGAUACCAUCUUGUUCCUUAUGACAACAUAAAAGAUCUCCUAUGAUCUACUAGUCACUAGCCAGACACUGCACCACAUUUUAUAGACACGUGGUCUGAAGUUACCUGUGUUCACGUGGCUCUUUGGACAUCAGUCCAGAAGAUCAAGCAACUAGUGACAAUACCAAAGUGGACAGCUUGGCAAUGAGAAUCUACCCUAUACCGGGUCUUGUGUCUCCCUCGUAUCCCCCUUUUCCCUUAGUCCCUCUUCCCUGGGGUUGUACUCUCUAAUAAAAUACUACACAUGAA